rnacentral:rRNA from 1 species
GACGAACGCUGGCGGCGUGCUUAACACAUGCAAGUCGAACGGAAAGGCCCUGCUUGCAGGGUACUCGAGUGGCGAACGGGUGAGUAACACGUGGGUGAUCUGCCCUUCACUUCGGGAUAAGCCUGGGAAACUGGGUCUAAUACCGGAUAGGAGCCAUUUUUAGUGUGAUGGUUGGAAAGUUUUUUCGGUGUAGGAUGAGCUCGCGGCCUAUCAGCUUGUUGGUGGGGUAAUGGCCUACCAAGGCGGCGACGGGUAGCCGGCCUGAGAGGGUGGACGGCCACAUUGGGACUGAGAUACGGCCCAGACUCCUACGGGAGGCAGCAGUGGGGAAGAUUGCACAAUGGGCGCAAGCCUGAUGCAGCGACGCCGCGUGGGGGAUGACGGCCUUCGGGUUGUAAACUCCUUUCGCUAGGGACGAAGCUUUUUGUGACGGUACCUAGAUAAGAAGCACCGGCUAACUACGUG